AGAGUUUGAUCCUGGCUCAGGAUGAACGCUGGCGGCGUGCCUAACACAUGCAAGUCGAGCGAGAAGCUUCUGAUAGAUUCUUCGGAUGAUAGAAGAAGUGGAAAGCGGCGGACGGGUGAGUAACGCGUAGGCAACCUGCCCCAUACAGAGGGAUAGCAUCUGGAAACGGAUAUUAAUACCUCAUAAUACUUAGAGAUCACAUGGUAACUAAGUCAAAGAUUUAUCGGUAUGGGAUGGGCCUGCGUCUGAUUAGCUAGUUGGUGGGGUAACGGCUCACCAAGGCGACGAUCAGUAGCCGACCUGAGAGGGUGAUCGGCCACAUUGGAACUGAGACACGGUCCAAACUCCUACGGGAGGCAGCAGUGGGGAAUAUUGCACAAUGGGCGCAAGCCUGAUGCAGCAACGCCGCGUGAGCGAUGAAGGCCUUUGGGUCGUAAAGCUCUGUCCUUGGGGAAGAAACAAAUGACGGUACCCUUGGAGGAAGCCCCGGCUAACUCCGUGCCAGCAGCCGCGGUAAUACGGAGGGGGCAAGCGUUAUCCGGAAUUAUUGGGCGUAAAGGGUACGUAGGUGGUAUACCAAGCGCAGGGUUUAAGGCAAUGGCUCAACCAUUGUUCGCCCUGCGAACUGGCAAACUUGAGUGCAGGAGAGGAAAGCGGAAUUCCUAGUGUAGCGGUGAAAUGCGUAGAUAUUAGGAGGAACACCAGUGGCGAAAGCGGCUUUCUGGACUGUAACUGACACUGAGGUACGAAAGCGUGGGGAGCAAACAGGAUUAGAUACCCUGGUAGUCCACGCCGUAAACGAUGAGCACUAGGUGUCGGGGUCGCAAGACUUCGGUUUUCGCAGUUGUCGCGAUAGGUGUUCUGCCUGGGGAGUGCGCACGCUAGGUGUGAAAUUAAAAGGAAUUGACGGGGACCCGCACAAGCAGCGGAGCAUGUGGUUUAAUUCGAAGCAACGCGAAGAACCUUACCAGGACUUGACAUCUUUCUGACCACUCCUUAAUCGGAGUUUUCCUUCGGGACAGAAGUGACAGGUGGUGCAUGGUUGUCGUCAGCUCGUGUCGUGAGAUGUUGGGUUAAGUCCCGCAACGAGCGCAACCCUUGUCAUUAGUUGCCAUCAUUAAGUUGGGCACUCUGGUGAGACUGCCGGGGAUAACUCGGAGGAAGGUGGGGAUGACGUCAAAUCAUCAUGCCCCUUAUGUUCUGGGCUACACACGUGCUACAAUGGCCGGUACAAAGAGAAGCAAGACUGUGAGGUGAGCAAAUCUCAAAAACCGGCCCCAGUUCGGAUUGUAGGCUGCAACUCGCCUACAUGAAGUCGGAGUUGCUAGUAAUCGCAGAUCAGAAUGCUGCGGUGAAUGCGUUCCCGGGUCUUGCACA
rnacentral:rRNA from 1 species